UACGGAGGGUGCAAGCGUUAAUCGGAAUUACUGGGCGUAAAGGGUGCGUAGGUGGUUUGGUAAGUUAUCUGUAAAAUCCCCGGGCUCAACCUGGGCAGGUCAGAUAAUACUGCAGAACUCGAGUAUGGGAGAGGGUAGUGGAAUUUCCGGUGUAGCGGGGAAAUGCGUAGAGAUCGGAAGGAACACCAGUGGCGAAGGCGGCUACCUGGCCUAAUACUGACACUGAGGCACGAAAGCGUGGGGAGCAAACAGG
rnacentral:rRNA from 1 species